rnacentral:rRNA from 1 species
GAGACAGUUCGGUCCCUAUCUGCCGUGGGCGUUUGAGAUUUGAGAGGAGCUGCUCUCAGUACGAGAGGACCGGAGUGGACGGACCUCUGGUGUUCCGGUUGUCACGCCAGUGGCAUCGCCGGGUAGCUACGUCCGGACGGGAUAACCGCUGAAAGCAUCUAAGCGGGAAGCCCCCCUCGAGAUAAGAUCUCACUAAAUCUCCAAGAUUUCUUAAGGGCCCUCGUAGACUACGAGGUUGAUAGGCGGGAUGUGUAAGCGCUGCGAGGCGUUGAGCUAACCCGUACUAAUUGCCCGUGAGGCUUGACCAU